rnacentral:tRNA from 1 species
AGAGCUUUAGUUUAAUUAAAAUGUCUGUGUUGCAAGCAGGUGAUGUGAUGUCCGCAAGCUCUA